CUAGCUGUAAAACAUUAACCCACACCCUAACUCGCCAGGGAAUUACGAGCCCAAGCUUAAAACCCAAAGGACUUGACGGUUUCCCAUCCCCCUAGAGGAGCCUGUUCUAUAAUCGAUUCUCCCCGAUCAACCUUACCACCCCUUGAAUAUACAGCCUGUAUACCUCCGUCGCAAGCUUACCCCAUGAAAGCAUACUCAGUGAGCUUAAAGAUUUUACAUCCACACGUCAGGUCAAGGUGCAGCCCAUGAGCUGGAAAGAAAUGGGCUACAAUUUCUACUUUAGAACAAACGAAAGACUGCAUGAAAUACAGUCGCUGAAGGCGGAUUUAGUAGUAAAAAGAAAAUAGAGAGUUCUUUUUAAUCGGGCACUAGGAUGCGUACACACCGCCCGUCACCCUCUUUAAACAAAAAUUUUUAAUGUUUAUAACACCACACACUUUUACAGAAGAGGUAAGUCGUAACAUGGUAAGCGUACUGGAAAGUGCGCUUGGAACAAAAUGUAGCUUAAUAAAAAGUAUCUUGCUUACACCAAUAACAUGUCUGUAGAAAUCUGACCAUUUUGAGCCUAAACCACAGCCCUAUCUCACCAAAUGUAAUACCCACCGACAAGAACAAAACUAAAACAUUUUCUUAACCAAGUAAAGGCGAUUAAAAAGUUUAUAGGAGCCGCAACACUAGUACCGCAAGGGAAAGGUGAAAUAAAAAUGAAACAAAUUCAAAGCAAAUUAAAGUAGAGAUUAAGCCCCGU
rnacentral:rRNA from 1 species